ensembl:lncRNA
CCAGUGUGCCCCUAAAAAGUUUAAGAUCUCUCUGAUAUGGGUCAGAAGGCUUGUGAAACUGCACUGGUAUAUGGAAAAAAACUACUUUUGAAAACUGCAUUCAUUCUGCUUUGCCUUCUUCAGCUGUCAACGCCCUGACACUGAUUCAGCUCUUCAUCUUUCAUAUCCCGGGACAGAGAAUAAACAAUACGUAGCCAGCUUCAGUGCAAGCAUUGAAAAACUGGAAAAUGAGGACUUUCUGAAAAAUAAAACCUUCGUGAACUGGUUGAUCUAGCUACUUGAUUUUGAAACUUUUUUGUUUUCUUUUGUUCAACACCCUCAUGCAGGGGAGGAAAAAAAAACAACAAAAACGAAAGGAAAGCCAUUAAUGCUCUGUUUGGUAGUUUAUUCUGAUAUGUAUUUUAUUGUGACUUUUUCUAAUGUGCCAUACGUUGCCUGAUACACUGGAGUUUAAGCCUUCAUAGCAACUGACUUCUUUUGUGCUUCUCAGUUCUCCAGUCUGGGUUCUGAAAGAGGCAACAACAGAAGAGUUCCCUCCUCUGGGAAGAGGUCUCCCAGGGCAGUUCCCGGCCGAGCAGUGCCAUCUGCCGAAAGUGGAAAGCACAGCCCGGGAGCUGCGGGUCUGGAAGCGCUGCUCCUCCAGCGCUGCUAAAUGCUCUUUGUUUUGAG